AUCAUUUUUUUGGUUCACAAGCCUGAUAAUUUGGGAUCCACGAAAAUAAAUUACAUGUGCCACUUAUUAAACUUUGCUAGGCCUUGGGCAUAUUAUCCAUCUGACA
rfam:Mesocricetus auratus contig098108, whole genome shotgun sequence.